ACCUUGGUAGCUUACAAUUUAUAGAGCAUAGCACUGAAGAUGCUAAGGCGGGCCUCAGAGCCCCCAGGGUA
rnacentral:tRNA from 1 species